rnacentral:rRNA from 1 species
CGAAGGGUGCAAGCGUUACUCGGAAUUACUGGGCGUAAAGCGUGCGUAGGUGGUGAGUUAAGUCUGUCGUGAAAGCCCCGGGCUCAACCUGGGAAUGGCGAUGGAUACUGGCUCGCUAGAGUGCGGUAGAGGAGAGUGGAAUUCCCGGUGUAGCAGUGAAAUGCGUAGAGAUCGGGAGGAACAUCAGUUGCGAAGGCGGCUCUCUGGACCAGCACUGACACUGAGGCACGAAAGCGUGGGGAGCAAACAGGAUUAGAUACCCUGGUAGUCCACGCCCUAAACGAUGCGAACUGGACGUUGGGAGCAAUUAGGCUCUCAGUGUCGAAGCUAACGCGUUAAGUUCGCCGCCUGGGGAGUACGGUCGCAAGACUG